rnacentral:tRNA from 1 species
GCAUUAGUAGCUCAGACUACAGAGCACCGGCCUUGUAAGUCGGACGCCGAAGGUUAAAAUCCUUCCUACUGCU